GCAGAGGAUUUCUCUUCCUUGGUCAGCCAUUAUCAGGGUGACGGAUGAUGAGGGACGGGAGAUUGAAACAGAUAUUUCGGGGAGCAUCAUCUCUGCACAACGAUUGUAAUGUCGAGUACACUGGGGAUUGUUGCUCCUAACAAUGAUAAUAAUUUGACGAUAUUUCCGUUCCGAAACUACCAUGCAGUGCUGGGUAUUACUAGGACUGUUAUCCCUAUCAGUCAUAUAUCAAUCCAUCCCAAAUUUACCGAGCGACACUGGACCAAUGCAGACCACAAUGCAGUCUUGUACCACCUCAAACAUCCAAUAAAAAUUUCGGAAAAUAUUCAGCCAGUUUGUCUCCCACUCUCUGCG